CCCCCUGUUCCACCUUGCAGGCCCCGAAUGAAGCCGCAGUAUUUUCCUUAUAUGAUUGGGCCCAUGGCUUGGCAGCGCUGCUGCUGGCCUGGAGCCUGAGAGGAUUAUAAUACGUGACUGGCGAGGUGGGGGCCGGGAACGGGGG